AUCCACGCUGGCGGCGUGCCUAACACAUGCAAGUCGCACGCGAAAGCCCCGCAAGGGGUAAGUAGAGUGGCAAACGGGUGAGUAACACGUGGGUGACCUGCCUUCGAGUGGGGGAUAACGUCCCGAAAGGGACGCUAAUACCGCAUGACAUCCUGCUUUUGAAAAAGCGGAGAUCAAAGCUGGGGAUCGCAAGACCUAGCGCUUGAAGAGGGGCCCGCGCCUGAUUAGCUAGUUGGUGAGGUAACGGCUCACCAAGGCGACGAUCAGUAUCCGGCCUGAGAGGGCGGACGGACACACUGGGACUGAGACACGGCCCAGACUCCUACGGGAGGCAGCAGUGGGGAAUUGUUCGCAAUGGGCGCAAGCCUGACGACGCAACGCCGCGUGGAGGACGAAGAUCUUCGGGUCGUAAACUCCUGUCGAGCGGGACGAACGCUUCGCGGAUGAAUAAUCCGCGGAAUUGACGGUACCGCUAAAGGAAGCCCCGGCUAACUCCGUG
rnacentral:rRNA from 1 species